AAUAAAUGCAGUUUUGCAUUGUUUAUGUCCAACGUUUGACCGUUCGUUUUAUUUAAAAAAUGUAUGAUUAGUAUUUUUACUGUUAUUAUAUGAUAAUAUAUUAAUAGUACUUUAUGUGUGACUAAUUUUUUAAACUUUUUCAUAAAUUUUUCAAAUAAGACGAACGGUCAAACGUCGGACACAUCGGACACAGAUACUCACAGCUGCACUUAUU
rfam:Oryza glumipatula chromosome 7, whole genome shotgun sequence.